rnacentral:misc_RNA from 1 species
GUGAUUAUUUUGCGUGUUUUCAGAAUUUCGAUGCUUAUGCAAAAGGGUUUGUUGGUCCCCGUCGGCAGGUCACCCCGCCGAGGGAAUAACGAAUGGUAGACAUAGGCAAGGGUUGCAUGCUGCGGCUCUCCCCGAAGGGCGAUGCCGUUGAGCAAGCGGUAAUGAUCCUUCCGCAGGUUCACCUACGGAAA